AGUGAACGCUGGCGGUAGGCCUAACACAUGCAAGUCGAACGGCAGCACAGUAAGAGCUUGCUCUUACGGGUGGCGAGUGGCGGACGGGUGAGGAAUACAUCGGAAUCUACUUUUUCGUGGGGGAUAACGUAGGGAAACUUACGCUAAUACCGCAUACGACCUACGGGUGAAAGCAGGGGAUCUUCGGACCUUGCGCGAUUGAAUGAGCCGAUGUCGGAUUAGCUAGUUGGCGGGGUAAAGGCCCACCAAGGCGACGGUCCGUAGCUGGUCUGAGAGGAUGAUCAGCCACACUGGAACGGAGACACGGUACAGACUGCUAGGGGAGGCAGCAGUGGGGAAUAUUGGACAAUGGGCGCAAGACUGAUCCAGCCAUACCGCGUGGGGGAAGAAGGCCUUCGGGUGGUAAAGCCCGUUUGUUGGGAAAGAAAAGCAGCAGGUUAAUACCCCGCUGUUCUGACGGUAACCAAAUAAUAAGCACCGGCUAACUUCGUG
rnacentral:rRNA from 1 species